UACAGAGGUCUCAAGCGUUGUUCGGAUUCAUUGGGCGUAAAGGGUGCGUAGGCGGCGCGGUAAGUCGGGUGUGAAAUCUCGGGGCUUAACUCCGAAACUGCAUUCGAUACUGCCGUGCUUGAGGACUGGAGAGGAGACUGGAAUUUACGGUGUAGCGGUGAAAUGCGUAGAUAUCGUAAGGAAGACCAGUGGCGAAAGCGGGUCUCUGGACAGUUCCUGACGCUGAGGCACGAAGGCCAGUGGAGCAAACGGG
rnacentral:rRNA from 1 species